rnacentral:rRNA from 1 species
AGAGUUUGAUCCUGGCUCAGGAUGAACGCUAGCGGCAGGCUUAACACAUGCAAGUCGCGGGGCAGCGGGGGAGAAGCUUGCUUCUCCCGCCGGCGACCGGCGCACGGGUGAGUAACACGUAUGCAACCUGCCCUUGUCAGGGGGACAACCCAGCGAAAGUUGGGCUAAUCCCGCGUAUAUCCCAAGGGGGCAUCCCCUUGGGAGGAAAGCUUAGGCGGACAAGGAUGGGCAUGCGGCGCAUUAGGCAGUAGGCGGGGUAACGGCCCACCUAACCGACGAUGCGUAGGGGUUCUGAGAGGAAGGCCCCCCACACUGGUACUGAGACACGGACCAGACUCCUACGGGAGGCAGCAGUGAGGAAUAUUGGUCAAUGGCCGAGAGGCUGAACCAGCCAAGCCGCGUGAGGGAAGAAGGCCCUACGGGUCGUAAACCUCUUUUGUCAGGGAACAAAAACCGGUACGUGUACCGGGUUGAGUGUACCUGAAGAAAAAGCAUCGGCUAACUCCGUGCCAGCAGCCGCGGUGAUACGGAGGAUGCGAGCGUUAUCCGGAUUUAUUGGGUUUAAAGGGUGCGUAGGCGGACUUUUAAGUCAGCGGUGAAAGCCCGGGGCUCAACCCCGGCGAGCCGUUGAAACUGGAGGUCUUGAGUUGGAGAGAGGUAAGCGGAAUGCGCAGUGUAGCGGUGAAAUGCUUAGAUAUUGCGCAGAACUCCGAUUGCGAAGGCAGCUUACUGGCUCCACACUGACGCUGAGGCACGAAAGCGUGGGUAUCGAACAGGAUUAGAUACCCUGGUAGUCCACGCAGUAAACGAUGAAUGCUGGUUGUCCGGAGGGAUUGACCUCUGGGCGGCGAAGCGAAAGCGAUAAGCAUUCCACCUGGGGAGUACGCCGGCAACGGUGAAACUCAAAGGAAUUGACGGGGGCCCGCACAAGCGGAGGAACAUGUGGUUUAAUUCGAUGAUACGCGAGGAACCUUACCCGGGCUCAAACGGCACAGGCCAGUCGCAGAGACGCGAUCUUCCUACGGGACCUGUGCCGAGGUGCUGCAUGGCUGUCGUCAGCUCGUGCCGUGAGGUGUCGGCUUAAGUGCCAUAACGAGCGCAACCCCCAUCGGCAGUUGCCAGCAGGUAAAGCUGGGGACUCUGCCGAGACUGCCGGCGCAAGCUGCGAGGAAGGCGGGGAUGACGUCAAAUCAGCACGGCCCUUACGUCCGGGGCGACACACGUGUUACAAUGGCGGCCACAGCGGGAAGCCAGGCGGCGACGCUGAGCGGAACCCGAAAAGCCGUCUCAGUUCGGAUUGGAGUCUGCAACCCGACUCCAUGAAGCUGGAUUCGCUAGUAAUCGCGCAUCAGCCACGGCGCGGUGAAUACGUUCCCGGGCCUUGCACUCACCGCCCGUCAAG